GGGAGAGGGAGAGGAGGCGGAGACCGGGAGAGUGAGAGGGAGAGGGCGGCGACCGAACGACCGAGAGAGCGGAGGCGGAGGAGGAAUUCGGAGAGGGAGAGGAAAAGGAGACUAGGGUUUACAACCAGUCGAGCGCUGGGUUAUACCCGAACACUUUAGCCGACGAAAUAAUUAUUUCGUCGGCUAAAGAUAAUAAUCUCGUCGGCUAAGAUAAAAUUCGUCGGCUAAACCUUUGAAAUUCGUCUGCUAAACCUAUGAAAUUCGUCGGCUAAACACAAAAUUCGUCGGCUUUAUAACUUUUUAUACAUUCGUCAAAUUGUGACUGCUGCUCGUGAUGAUCAAACUUUAGAACGAAAAUCCGACCGUCAGAUCUGACCAUCAUGAUAAAAUACAUGUAUGGAAAAAAAUUCAACUUGAUCCGACGAGGUUAAGGGCUCGAUCCGGACGGUCAAUCCGUUAAGUCAAACCCCUAAACGCACGGAAAAUGUCAUUGGACUGUCUAAAUUACGUAUUUUGGCCGGACCUUCAACUGAAAAUAGUUUCAAACCGAUGAGACGCAACAAGUCCUAUAAAAAUUUUAUGCAAAAUAACCACCGAAGAUAGGGCUACCCAUAGGGAGAAAGAAUGGAAAAUUGUAUUGACCGCAACUAUCGGCACUGAGACAUGACCGGAAUACCGUGAUUUUUCAACCGUAGACGUAUUUCACCAUUAUGGUCAUGUCUUAUUUCACGACUUUUUUACGUUUGAAGGUUCUACGUAUAGUUUGUUUUUGAAACGGAACAUUUACUUAACACUUGGUAAACAAGUUAUACAACAUUAGUAAGCAUGUUGUGAUUGUGAUGAUCAAACUUGAGAAAAGGAAAUCCGACGGUCAGAUCUGACCAUCAUGAUAAAAUACAUGUAUGGGAAAAAAUUCAACUUGAUCUGACAAGGUGAAGUGCUCGAUCCGGACGGUCAAUCCCCUAAAUGCACGGAAAAGGUUGUUGGACCGUCUAAAUUUCGUAUUUUGGCCGGACCUUCAACUGAAAAUAUUUUCAAAUCGAUGAGACACAAUAAGUCGUAUAAAAAUUUUACGCAAAAUAACCACCGAAGAUAGGGCUAUAGUAUGUAACAGAAAAAGUUUAGGGUUUAGCCGACGAAUACCCUAAUAUAUUCGUCGGCUAUAGUAUGUAAUAAAAAAAUAUAAAAAUUAAUAAAGCCGACGAAAUAUUAGGGUAUUUCGUCGGCUAUAAGUUCUUUUAGCCGACGACUUCUAGUAUUCUUCGUCGGCUAAGACUGGUUUAGCCGACGACUUUUAAUAUAAUUCGUCGGCUAAGAUGGUUUAGG
rnacentral:lncRNA from 1 species